GAUGAACGCUAGCUACAGGCUUAACACAUGCAAGUCGAGGGGCAGCAUGGUCUUAGCUUGCUAAGGCCGAUGGCGACCGGCGCACGGGUGAGUAACGCGUAUCCAACCUGCCUUACACUCUUGGACAGCCUUCUGAAAGGGAGAUUAAUACAAGAUGUUAUCAUGAGUAAGCAUUUUCGCAUGAUUAAAGGUUUACCGGUGUAAGAUGGGGAUGCGUUCCAUUAGAUAGUAGGCGGGGUAACGGCCCACCUAGUCUUCGAUGGAUAGGGGUUCUGAGAGGAAGGUCCCCCACAUUGGAACUGAGACACGGUCCAAACUCCUACGGGAGGCAGCAGUGAGGAAUAUUGGUCAAUGGACGAGAGUCUGAACCAGCCAAGUAGCGUGAAGGAUGAAGGUUCUAUGGAUUGUAAACUUCUUUUAUACGGGAAUAAACGGAUCCACGUGUGGAUUUUUGCAUGUACCGUAUGAAUAAGGAUCGGCUAACUCCGUGCCAGCAGCCGCGGUAAUACGGAGGAUCCGAGCGUUAUCCGGAUUUAUUGGGUUUAAAGGGAGCGUAGAUGGGUUGUUAAGUCAGUUGUGAAAGUUUGCGGCUCAACCGUAAAAUUGCAAUUGAUACUGGCAGUCUUGAGUACAGUUGAGGUAGGCGGAAUUCGUGGUGUAGCGGUGAAAUGCUUAGAUAUCACGAAGAACUCCGAUUGCGAAGGCAGCUUACUAACCUGUAACUGACAUUGAUGCUCGAAAGUGUGGGUAUCAAACAGGAUUAGAUACCCUGGUAGUCCACACGGUAAACGAUGAAUACUCGCUGUAGGCGAUAUACAGUCUGCGGCCAAGCGAAAGCAUUAAGUAUUCCACCUGGGGAGUACGCCGGCAACGGUGAAACUCAAAGGAAUUGACGGGGGCCCGCACAAGCGGAGGAACAUGUGGUUUAAUUCGAUGAUACGCGAGGAACCUUACCCGGGCUUAAAUUGCAACCGAAUAUGGCGGAAACGCUAUAGCUAGCAAUAGCGGUUGUGAAGGUGCUGCAUGGUUGUCGUCAGCUCGUGCCGUGAGGUGUCGGCUUAAGUGCCAUAACGAGCGCAACCCUUGCCGAUAGUUACUAACAGGUUAUGCUGAGGACUCUGUCGGGACUGCCAUCGUAAGAUGUGAGGAAGGUGGGGAUGACGUCAAAUCAGCACGGCCCUUACGUCCGGGGCUACACACGUGUUACAAUGGGGGGUACAGAGGGCCGCUACCACGCGAGUGGAUGCCAAUCCCCAAAACCUCUCUCAGUUCGGACUGGAGUCUGCAACCCGACUCCACGAAGCUGGAUUCGCUAGUAAUCGCGCAUCAGCCACGGCGCGGUGAAUACGUUCCCGGGCCU
rnacentral:rRNA from 1 species